AGUGAACGCUGGCGGUAGGCCUAACACAUGCAAGUCGAACGGCAGCACAGUAAGAGCUUGCUCUUACGGGUGGCGAGUGGCGGACGGGUGAGGAAUACAUCGGAAUCUACUUUUUCGUGGGGGAUAACGUAGGGAAACUUACGCUAAUACCGCAUACGACCUACGGGUGAAAGCAGGGGAUCUUCGGACCUUGCGCGAUUGAAUGAGCCGAUGUCGGAUUAGCUAGUUGGCGGGGUAAAGGCCCACCAGGGCGACGAUCCGUAGCUGGCCUGAGAGGAUGAUCAGCCACACUGGAACUGAGACACGGUCCAGACUCCUACGGGAGGCAGCAGUGGGGAAUAUUGGACAAUGGGCGCAAGCCUGAUCCAGCCAUACCGCGUGGGUGAAGAAGGCCUUCGGGUUGUAAAGCCCUUUUGUUGGGAAAGAAAAGCAGCAGGUUAAUACCCCGCUGUUCUGACGGUACCCAAAGAAUAAGCACCGGCUAACUUCGU
rnacentral:rRNA from 1 species